AAACAAUGCAACCUCAGUGAGGUCCAACCCUCAAAACCACCCACAUAUGCGCCAAGGCACCUAGCUGUGAAUAUACUGCUAAAAGGCAACCUUUUUUGGACCAAAAGAAAAGCAGACAGCUAAAAAGUUAUAGGUUAGCCCAUCUGUUCAUGACCUAAAUAGAAUUAGCACAAAACAUACAGAGUUCAAAGGGAUGGAGGAGGGAACAGAGUGGAGGCUGCAGAAAAGCAACUACCAAACAAAAACCCAUUUAUAAAAGGAAUUUCUAAUGUAUCCAGAAUGCAUGGGCCUAGUUUGGUAGAGAAUCACCAGGUGGCAUUCUACAUCUACUUUGCACAGUUCCCAGAUACCUGCACCGAAUGAUCACCCCAUUCAUAUUUCAUCUUGGCUGUUGGAACAGUCCUUCUUGCCAUUAAAAUGACAGAUCUGGAAGUGGAAAAUGUGAGGACAUAUGGUGCAUGGAGAGUCCAUAGUUUGUAGUGAUAACCAUGUGCUUCAUUGUGUGUCGUUACUUGUUUAUUUUUUAAAUAAAAGCUUACUUUUGAAGAACACCUUGUAUCUGAAGAUAUUUCUACCAUAUGGCAAAUCUUAUGUGUAAU